CCUACGGGAGGCAGCAGUGGGGAAUCUUGCACAAUGGAGGAAACUCUGAUGCAGCGAUGCCGCGUGAGUGAAGAAGGCCUUUGGGUUGUAAAGCUCUUUUGUAGGGGAAGAUAAUGACUGUACCCUAAGAAUAAGGUCCGGCUAACUUCGUGCCAGCAGCCGCGGUAAUACGAAGGGACCUAGCGUAGUUCGGAAUUACUGGGCGUAAAGCGCGCGUAGGCCGUUGAGUUAGUUAAUUGUGAAAUCCCAAAGCUUAACUUUGGAACUGCAAUUAAAACUGCUCGACUAGAGUUUGAUAGAGGAAAGCGGAAUACAUAGUGUAGAGGUGAAAUUCGUAGAUAUUAUGUAGAACACCAGUUGCGAAGGCGGCUUUCUGGAUCAACACUGACGCUGAGGCGCGAAAAGUAUGGGUAGCAAAGAGGAUUAGAUACCCUCGUAGUCCAUACCAUAAACGAUGAUUGCUAGAUGUUGGAAAUUUAUUUUCUAGUAUCGCAGCUAACGCAUUAAGCAAUCCGCCUGGGGAGUACGACCGCAAGGUUAAAACUCAAAAUGAAUUGACGG
rnacentral:rRNA from 1 species